AUGGGGAGAGGAAUCUGUUCAGUCGCAGCUGCAAGUGACCCAUAGGAAUUGGGACACAAAUCGGCAAAUUUCUCAGGACUUGUGCAAAAAGGGCUAUGAUCGGGACACGCAACAGUGCAGAGCAAAGAUAAAGGAGCUGAGGCAGGCGUACCAUAAAGUGCGGGAGGCGAACCAUCACUCCGGUGGUGCACCUUAGAACUGCCACUUGUAUAAGAAGCUGAAUGCUAUCCUCAGUGGUGAUCCCACCUCCAUCGCUGAUUGCUCCAUGGAUACUUCGCAUGCAGCUGAAAGGGGGGUAACCCGGAGGAUGACAUUGUGGAUGAAGAAGUUGAGCUAGAAGAGGAUGUGGUGUUCCCAGCGGGGUCACCCAGUGGGGCAGGCAGCCAGGACUUUUCUCCACUCCAGAAGUGCUCAAUGGGGAGCAGGAAGCAGAUGAGACUCUGGCACAGACCUUGAAGAACACAACAGACACCCCCGUGGACCAGCUGCAGCAGAUAAGAAAAAAACCUAGGUGCAGCAAAGAAGACAUGUUCCACCAGGUUAUACAGCGCGAUGAAAGACAAAUUGGGGAACAGAAAGAGUACUGGGAAGCCGAAAGUCAGGACAGAAAAGAGAAUGCUGCUUUUGCUAGGCAAGCGACAGAGCGGAUGAUGAAAGUUAUGGAGAUCAGACAAAGAGGCUCAAGUCUCUGAUACAACUGCAGACUGAGCAGAUCUGAGUUUGAGCACCACUGCAGCAGAUGCACAGUUCUUUCCCAGCCUCACCUCCCUCUAUGCUCACACAUUCCUUUUCACUUCACAGCACUCCUGAGUUUCCCCACCACUCCACCCCCUCUCACAGCUUGAACAAUGAUAGCUGGAGCUACACACAAUUGUGAGGUUUUACCC